rnacentral:lncRNA from 1 species
AUAUUGGGAUAAAAAGAAGGAAGAAGUAUAACUAUCAUUACAGCAACCUGUAUAGUUUGGAAAACGAAUGCUGAGAGUGGAAAGUGCUAACAAUAUUGAAAAAAUAACAACAUAAAAGGAACAUCUUUUGGCUCCUGUGAAACUUCUUGUGGCAGAAAACCUGAACAUUACCUUUUAAGUUUUUUACAUUAACCUUUUGAUCUAUGAACAAGACUCAUUUUUUCAAUAUUCUGUUGCAGAUCACCCCACCAGGAAAGGUCUAUAUUCCUGUAUCCUGGCUGAGGAGGAAAUAAUUGUUAACUUCACAGAGCAAAACAACUGUUCCAUUGCAACUAUUCUGAUUAGAAGUGAGCAGCAAACUGGUCAGAUAUGUGGACAGAAUCUUGGCUAAGUUUUGCUCUGGCUUAAAUAGUAUGCAAUUCCACUCUGUAAAUCAGAAGAGAAUGUGGCCAUUUGUGGAGAAAUGUCUGCAUGUGAACACCAGCGUCUACAACUACUGAACUCUAAAUACAACUCUGUUUUGCUGAUGUUUUAAUUCAGGUAUACUGCUGUAAUGUGCAGCAGCAAUCUCCUCCAAAUUAUUACUUUAAUGAGAAGAUGGUUAUGGUUUUAGUUUUGAAUCAUGAAGCUGCUAUUUGAGUGAUGGUACCAACUGAUCUGGAUGAAGAAAGUCUUAUCAUCUGACACUAUGCAUGAAGAACAUGCCCAGCUGGAGAAGCUUUGAAGCAGUGUAAGUAGGAGAAUGAAGUUCUAUAACAUAAUCGAUCUGGAAAACAAAGACAGUCUGAGUCAAAGAUGCUAUCACGCUUAGUCAUUUCUGUUGUAUUUUUAUCCCAUACCAUUGAAAUCUAGAGUAAAAGCAAAGACAAUUAUUGCCUGUGGGACAGAUCCUGCUGUCGUUCUUGAUAAAAAGCCUCAUAGACACCUGUAGGAAUUUUCAGUUAAAAGAGAUGACAGCAUAGGAAAUUAAUGAGGCUGUGUGAUGUGUUUUGUGAUUGGCACCAGAAGAAUUAACACCACA